rnacentral:rRNA from 1 species
AUGGACAACAAGAUGCAAAAAGCUAGGUCACACACUGUAGUCGCCAUCGGUAAUCAAGAAAGAAGGUUUGAGGUCCGCUUAGCCAACAACAAAUUCGGAUGUGCAAAUGAGUUGAGGACGCAUGAGGUGAAAAUUGGCAAUGAAGCCUGGCCAACGUGUGAGUGCACAUGCAAUAAACCAAAAUUGCUUCACCUACCUUGCUCACAUGUACUUGCUGCUUGCGGGCAGCUUGGAAUGGACGCAAUAUCGUUUGUGUCUCCAUAUUUUCUGAAAGAGGCUGUCCUCAAUACCUGGACAGGUGAGCUGAUGGGUUUUCGAUCAAUGGGUAAUUUCAGC